rnacentral:rRNA from 1 species
CUACGUGCCAGCAGCCGCGGUAAUACGUAGGGCGCGAGCGUUGUCCGGAAUUAUUGGGCGUAAAGAGCUUGUAGGCGGUUUGUCGCGUCUGCUGUGAAAGGCCGGGGCUUAACUCCGUGUAUUGCAGUGGGUACGGGCAGACUAGAGUGCAGUAGGGGAGACUGGAACUCCUGGUGUAGCGGUGGAAUGCGCAGAUAUCAGGAGGAACACCGAUGGCGAAGGCAGGUCUYUGGGCUGUAACUGACGCUGAGAAGCGAAAGCAUGGGGAGCGAACAGGAUUAGAUACCCUGGUAGUCCAUGCCGUAAACGUUGGGCACUAGGUGUGGGGGACAUUCCACGUUUUCCGCGCCGUAGCUAACGCAUUAAGUGCCCCGCCUGGGGAGUACGGCCGCAAGGCUAAAACUCAAAGAAAUUGACGGGGGCCCGCACAAGCGGCGGAGCAUGCGGAUUAAUUCGAUGCAACGCGAAGAACCUUACCAAGGCUU